rnacentral:rRNA from 1 species
GAAGAGCCCGCGGCCUAUCAGCUAGUUGGUGAGGUAACGGCCCACCAAGGCGAUGACGGGUAGCUGGUCUGAGAGGACGACCAGCCACACUGGGACUGAGACACGGCCCAGACACCUACGGGUGGCAGCAGUCGAGAAUUUUUCUCAAUGGGGGAAACCCUGAAGGAGCGACGCCGCGUGGAGGAUGAAGGUCUUCGGGUUGUAAACUCCUGUCAUUUGGGAACAAGGUGCGCGCGUUAACUGCGCGCGCAUUGAUAGUACCAGAAGAGGAAGAGACGGCUAACUCUGUGCCAGCAGCCGCGGUAAUACAGAGGUCUCAAGCGUUGUUCGGAUUCAUUGGGCGUAAAGGGUGCGUAGGCGGCGCGGUAAGUCGGGUGUGAAAUCUCGGGGCUUAACUCCGAAACUGCAUUCGAUACUGCCGUGCUUGAGGACUGGAGAGGAGACUGGAAUUUACGGUGUAGCGGUGAAAUGCGUAGAUAUCGUAAGG